GUACACGCUGUGACUAGCAUAUCAAUAAGCGGAGGAAAAGAAACUAACAAGGAUUCCCCUAGUAACGGCGAGUGAAGCGGGAAGAGCUCAAAUUUGAAAUCUUAAAGGGUUUCCCUUUACGAAUUGUAGUUUAAAGAAGUGUUUUCUGUUGAGGUUUUGGUAAAAGUUCUUUGGAAUAGGACAUCAUAGAGGGUGAGAAUCCCGUAUUUGACCUUUACUUUCAACUUUGUGAUGACACUUUCAAAGAGUCGGAUUGUUUGGGAAUGCAGUCCAAAAUGGGUGGUAAAUUUCAUCUAAAGCUAAAUAUUGGCGAGAGACCGAUAGCGAACAAGUACCGUGAGGGAAAGAUGAAAAGAACUUUGAAAAGAGAGUUAAACAGUACGUGAAAUUGUCAAAAGGGAAGCGUUUGACACCAGUGUUGUUUUUCUGAAAAUCAAUUAAAGAACUGUUUAUGCUAAGUUGUUUAGACUUUAUCAGCUAUCUGUUUAGUUUUGAGCUUUUCUUUAAUGCAGCUUUUCAGUUAACAAGUCAACAUCAAUUUCUCUUUGCCUGUAAAAAAGCUUGAGGAAGGUGGCUUGAGAUUCGUCUUAAGUGUUUAUAGCCUCUUGCCUAUGCAGUCGGAGAGAUUGAGGUCUGCAGCGUAGAUCCUUCGGGGCUAAAUGCAUUUGUGCUAAGUUAUAGCAUUUUAUAGACAACUUGUUGACUAUGAUUUGUCUUGUAGCUUACUUCGCUUAUGUUAUUUACCUACGCUUAGGAUGUUGAAGUCAUCGUAUCGCGC
rnacentral:rRNA from 1 species